AAUAAAUCCCAAGAAACGGAAAAAAAUCAGGAAUACCUUAAGCAGGGAAACAAAAAGGAAGAAAGGGCACCAGAAUCACACACCUUCACGGCCACUCAAAAAAAAACAAAGGCUAAUAAUAAGUGAAUGUGGUUUUGUUUGAGGUGGGUUUCAUGUCGUUAUCAUCGAGAGAGAUGGCAAGUAAAUAGAGCCAAAAAGAAGAAACGAAAGAAAUUUGGAAACGGACAGAAAGAAGGCGAAAGGAAACGGUGCAGAGAAGACAUUAUUAUCGUAGAGAGAGAGAGAAGGAGAGAUAUUAGAGGGAAAUUAAGGGGAGCAACAAAAUCCUCGUGUAAGCUUUACAGGCUACACAGAGCCUUCACAGCCAUGCAAGUGAUACAUCAAAAGAUUCGGUCUGAAAACAGAGACUUUUUAUUUUUCCAACCAAAA